GAUGAACGCUGGCGGCGUGCUUAACACAUGCAAGUCGAACGAUGAAGCCCAGCUUGCUGGGUGGAUUAGUGGCGAACGGGUGAGUAACACGUGAGUAACCUGCCCUUAACUCUGGGAUAAGCCUGGGAAACUGGGUCUAAUACCGGAUAGGAGCGUCCACCGCAUGGUGGGUGUUGGAAAGAUUUAUCGGUUUUGGAUGGACUCGCGGCCUAUCAGCUUGUUGGUGAGGUAAUGGCUCACCAAGGCGACGACGGGUAGCCGGCCUGAGAGGGUGACCGGCCACACUGGGACUGAGACACGGCCCAGACUCCUACGGGAGGCAGCAGUGGGGAAUAUUGCACAAUGGGCGCAAGCCUGAUGCAGCGACGCCGCGUGAGGGAUGACGGCCUUCGGGUUGUAAACCUCUUUCAGUAGGGAAGAAGCGAAAGUGACGGUACCUCCAGAAGAAGCACCGGCUAACUACGUG
rnacentral:rRNA from 1 species